UGUGGUGGCGAUAGCCUGAAGGAUACACCUGUUCCCAUGCCGAACACAGAAGUUAAGCUUCAGCACGC
rnacentral:rRNA from 1 species